GUGGCUGACAGGAGUUCGAGGAGAGAGAACCCAUGGCCAGUGUCCAUGACAUUCCGGACGACAAGGACAUCGUCUCUGGGCUGGCUGCUUGCUCCCCCAUACUGGGAGUAGCUGGAGGCCGGCAGGCACCAUGCUGUCCACCAGGCUGGCGCAGAACAUUAUCAUGGCAAAUGUCCAGCAGACCAGAUAUGGGGUGAUCAGUUGUUUGAAGGUAAAAGGUAAGAGCUAUGAAGCCAUGUUACAAGAAAUCUGUGUUUACUGCGACAUUGAAGAGCCUCAGCUCACGGAUGUAUAAGGUGAGUUGGACAGCAUCAGCCUUAUAGGGCUGAAAGGCAA
rnacentral:lncRNA from 13 species